AUACGGAAGGUCCGGGCGUUAUCCGGAUUUAUUGGGUUUAAAGGGAGCGCAGGCGGAGAUGCAAGCGUGACGUCAAAUUUCGGGGCUCAACCCCGUCUCGCGUCGCGAACUGCGUCCCUUGGUUGCGGGAAGGGGAGGCGGAACUCGUGGUGUAGCGGUGAAAUGCAUAGAUAUGCUACAGAACACCAAUCGCGAAGGCAGCAUACGAGGCAUCAUCUGACGCUGAUGCACGAAAGCGUGGGGAUCAAACAGGAUUAGAUACCCUGGUAGUCCACGCUGUAAACUAUGAUAACUAUCUUUUAGCGAUACACAGUUAGAGGGUAAGAGAAAUCAUUAAGUUAUCCACCUGGGGAUUACGUUCGCAAGAAUGAAACUCAAAUGAAUUGACGGGG
rnacentral:rRNA from 1 species